rnacentral:piRNA from 1 species
GGGAAGCCCAAGAUGAAAGCAGAUACUGUU